UACGGAGGGUGCAAGCGUUGUCCGGAUUUAUUGGGUUUAAAGGGUGCGUAGGCGGUUAAUUAAGUCAGUGGUGAAAUCCUGGAGCUCAACUUCAGAACUGCCAUUGAUACUGGUUGACUUGAGUACAGACGAGGUUGGCGGAAUUGAUGGUGUAGCGGUGAAAUGCAUAGAUACCAUCAAGAACACCGAUUGCGAAGGCAGCUAACUAGGCUGUAACUGACGCUGAGGCACGAAAAGUGUGGGGAUCAAACAGG
rnacentral:rRNA from 1 species